GACGAACGCUGGCGGCGUGCUUAACACAUGCAAGUCGAACGGAAAGGCCCUGCUUUUGUGGGGUGCUCGAGUGGCGAACGGGUGAGUAACACGUGAGUAACCUGCCCUUGACUUUGGGAUAACUUCAGGAAACUGGGGCUAAUACCGGAUAGGAGCUCCUGCUGCAUGGUGGGGGUUGGAAAGUUUCGGCGGUUGGGGAUGGACUCGCGGCUUAUCAGCUUGUUGGUGGGGUAGUGGCUUACCAAGGCUUUGACGGGUAGCCGGCCUGGGAGGGUGACCGGCCACAUUGGGACUGAGAUACGGACCAGACUCCUACGGGAGGCAGCAGUGGGGAAUAUUGCAGAAUGGGCGGAAGCCUGAUGCAGCAACGCCGCGUGCGGGAUGACGGCCUUCGAGUUGUAAACCGCUUUCGCCUGUGACGAAGCGUGAGUGACGGUAAUGGGUAAAGAAGCACCGGCUAACUACGUG
rnacentral:rRNA from 1 species